AUUGAACGCUGGCGGCAUGCUUUACACAUGCAAGUCGAACGGUAACAGGGUGCUUGCACCGCUGACGAGUGGCGAACGGGUGAGUAAUGCGUCGGAACGUGCCGAGUAGUGGGGGAUAACGCAGCGAAAGUUGUGCUAAUACCGCAUACGUACUGAGGUAGAAAGUGGGGGACCUUCGGGCCUCACGCUAUUCGAGCGGCCGACGUCUGAUUAGCUAGUAGGUGAGGUAAAGGCUCACCUAGGCGACGAUCAGGAGCGGGUCUGAGAGGAUGAUCCGCCACACUGGGACUGAGACACGGCCCGGACGCCUUCGGGAGGCAGCAGUGGGGAAUUUUGGACAAUGGGCGAAAGCCUGAUCCAGCCAUGCCGCGUGUCUGAAGAAGGCCUUCGGGUUGUAAAGGACUUUUGUCAGGGAGGAAAUCCCUAGUGCUAAUAACACUGGGGGAUGACAGUACCUGAAGAAUAAGCACCGGCUAACUACGUGCCAGCCGCCGCCGUAA
rnacentral:rRNA from 1 species